rnacentral:misc_RNA from 1 species
GAUGAAGAACGCAGCGAAAUGCGAUACUUGGUGUGAAUUGCAGAAUCCCGUGAACCAUCGAGUCUUUGAACGCAAGUUGCGCCCGAAGCCACUAGGCCGAGGGCACGCCUGCCUGGGCGUCACACGCCGUUGCCCCCCCAUCUACUCCUUCGGGAUUGCGGGGGGGCGGAUGAUGGCCUCCCGUGCGCCUAGCCGCGCGGUUGGCAUAAAUACCAAGUCCUCGGCGACGCACGCCACGACAAUCGGUGGUUGCGAAACCUCGGUUGCCCGUCGUGUGCGUUCGUCGCGCAUCGAGGGCUCGAAAAAAUGCUCGGCUCCGGCUGGGCUUUCAACGCGACCCCAGGUCAGGCGGGGUUACCCGCUGAAUUUAAGCAUAUCAAGCGGAGGA